GCCAACGGCCAUACCACGUUGAAUACACCGGUUCUCGUCCGAUCACCGAAGUUAAGCAACAUCGGGCGUGGUUAGUACCUGGAUGGGUGACCGCCUGGGAACACCGCGUGCUGUUGGCA
rfam:Rhodnius prolixus Rhodnius_prolixus-3.0.3-541.15, whole genome shotgun sequence.